rnacentral:rRNA from 1 species
GAUGAACGCUGGCGGCGUGCCUAACACAUGCAAGUCGAACGGAAAGGCCCUGCUUUUUUGGGGUGCUCGAGUGGCGAAGGGGUGAGUAACACGGGAGUAUCCUGCCCUGGACUUUGGGAUAACUUCAGGAAAGUGGGGCUAAUACCGGAUAGCAGCUCAUGCUGCAUGGUGGGCGUUGGAAAGUUUCGGCUGUAGGGGAUGGACGCGCGGCUUAUCAGUUUGUUGGUUGGGUAGUGGCUUACCCAGGCUUUGACGGAUAGCCGGCCUGAGAGGGUGGCCGGGCACAAGAGGACUAAGGGAGGGAGCAGACGGCAACAGGGGACAACGGGGGGAAGUAUGACACAGUGAGAGGGAGCGUGUUGAGAAGGCGCCGCGUUCGGAAAGACGGCCUUCGGGGUGUGAACCGCUGUCGCCUAAGACGAAGCGUUAGUGACGGUAAUAAGAAAAGAAGCACCGGCUAACUACGUG